rnacentral:lncRNA from 12 species
GUGCAACCUGCCCACAAUACCCUGAAACCAGCCUAUCUCCCUGUUCCCAGGCACAGAGGUUUACCAGAGUCUCCUUCCCCCUCCCCCAUAGCCAGGCAGCCACCAUCCUUUCCUAACUAUUCCCUGAUCUGCCUCCCAUCCCCCUCAGUCUCUCACCUGGGUGACACGGUGGCCUCUGAAUGGGCUCCUCUCUUUCCCUUUUCAUCCUCCACCCAGCAGCCAUCUGACUGUAGCUUCCAAGGCCAUUCCAGCCCGUCUCCCACCUCUUUGCACACCAGCUGUGCCCCUGCCUAUAGCUCCCAGCCACGCUGUCCCCGCCUCAAUGCCCAGGGCUGCCACUCACCCUGCCUUCCUCCCUUUCACCUGCUGACUUCUCCUCCCCCUCUUCCCCCACCCUCCUGCUCCCCCUCUUCCUCCUCCUCCCCCCACUCCUCCUCCUCCUCCACCUCCUCCUCUUCAUACACUUCCUCAUUUUUUCUUCCCCCUCNNNNNNNNNNCCUGAAACCAGCCUAUCUCCCUGUUCCCAGGCACAGAGGUUUACCAGAGUCUCCUUCCCCCUCCCCCAUAGCCAGGCAGCCACCAUCCUUUCCUAACUAUUCCCUGAUCUGCCUCCCAUCCCCCUCAGUCUCUCACCUGGGUGACACGGUGGCCUCUGAAUGGGCUCCUCUCUUUCCCUUUUCAUCCUCCACCCAGCAGCCAUCUGACUGUAGCUUCCAAGGCCAUUCCAGCCCGUCUCCCACCUCUUUGCACACCAGCUGUGCCCCUGCCUAUAGCUCCCAGCCACGCUGUCCCCGCCUCAAUGCCCAGGGCUGCCACUCACCCUGCCUUCCUCCCUUUCACCUGCUGACUUCUCCUCCCCCUCUUCCCCCACCCUCCUGCUCCCCCUCUUCCUCCUCCUCCCCCCACUCCUCCUCCUCCUCCUCCUCCUCCUCCUCCUCCUCCUCCUCCUCCUCCUCGCUGCUCUCAGCUCACCACCACCCCCCCAGCUCUCAGCACACUGGCCUCCCCGCACUAUAA